rnacentral:miRNA from 1 species
CGAGUAUAUUUUGGUCACAUG